UACAGAGGUCUCAAGCGUUGUUCGGAUUCAUUGGGCGUAAAGGGUGCGUAGGCGGCGCGGUAAGUCGGGUGUGAAAUCUCGAGGCUCAACUUCGAGCUGUCGGUGGAAACUGUCUGGCUAGAGUCCGGAAGAGGAGAAUGGAAUUCCUGGUGUAGCGGUGAAAUGCGCAGAUAUCAGGAAGAACACCCGUGGCGAAGGCGGUUCUCUGGGACGGUACUGACGCUGAGACGCGAAAGCGUGGGUAGCAAACGGG
rnacentral:rRNA from 1 species